CGCGUAGGCGGCCAUGUAAGUCAGAUGUGAAAGUCCACGGCUCAACCGUGGAAGUGCAUUUGAAACUGUAUGGCUUGAGUACUGGAGGGGGUAGUGGAAUUCCCGGUGUAGAGGUGAAAUUCGUAGAUAUCGGGAGGAAUACCGGUGGCGAAGGCGACUACCUGGCCAGAUACUGACGCUGAGGUGCGAAAGCGUGGGGAGCAAACA
rnacentral:rRNA from 1 species